AUACGUAGGGUGCGAGCGUUGUCCGGAAUUACUGGGCGUAAAGAGCUCGUAGGUGGUUUGUCGCGUCGUCUGUGAAAUUCCGGGGCUUAACUCCGGGCGUGCAGGCGAUACGGGCAUAACUUGAGUACUGUAGGGGAGACUGGAAUUCCUGGUGUAGCGGUGAAAUGCACAGAUGUCAGGAGGAACACCGGUGGCGAAGGCGGGUCUCUGGGCAGUAACUGACGCUGAGGAGCGAAAGCAUGGGUAGCGAACAGGAUUAGAUCCCCUGGUAGUCCAUGCCGUAAACGGUGGGCGCUAGGUGUAGGGGUCUUCCACGACUUCUGUGCCGUAGCUAACGCAUUAAGCGCCCCGCCUGGGGAGUACGGCCGCAAGGCUAAAACUUAAAGGAAUUGACGGGG
rnacentral:rRNA from 1 species